GCAGCCGCGGUAAUACGUAGGUGGCGAGCGUUAUCCGGAAUUAUUGGGCGUAAAGAGCGCGCAGGUGGUUGAUUAAGUCUGAUGUGAAAGCCCACGGCUUAACCGUGGAGGGUCAUUGGAAACUGGUCGACUUGAGUGCAGAAGAGGGAAGUGGAAUUCCAUGUGUAGCGGUGAAAUGCGUAGAGAUAUGGAGGAACACCAGUGGCGAAGGCGGCUUCCUGGUCUGUAACUGACACUGAGGCGCGAAAGCGUGGGGAGCAAACAGGAUUAGAUACCCC
rnacentral:rRNA from 1 species